GGGUAACACAUACAGUAUAUGGCUGUGAGUUGCGUCCCGAAUACCUUUUUGACAUAAAUUGUAUCUUCUAUAUUAAUUUGAUGUGCACGAUUUUCGAUUUAGAGGUUUUGCUAUCCCUAGAUGAUUCAGAAAAAAAUAAGCCAUCAUAUUAUGACGAUAUGUCUUACAUGAUAUGUCCAUGAAAGAAUUAAUGAAAUAUAAAAAACAAAAUCUCACAUGUGUCACCUGUACUAAAUAGUUCCUGAAAUACCUCCUAUGCGAUGAAGAAUGUCCAACGUGACAUCAAUUGUCGUCAGAAAACUUCCUAUUUAACGUAGAAAAACCUUCAAUGGGAUUUUGCCGAAAAAAACUUAACUCGCAAAACAAAUAAUCGGUUGUUCGAAUAUACGCGCACCAAAAUUAUCUCUACACGAC